UCUAAUGGCCUGAGCUGACUGACCACUGAAGCCUCCAAAAUAAAUCUCACUUCUUCUUGACUCUUGGCUUCCCAUGGGCAACUUUCUUGAAGACGCUGGUGCAAUGAUUUCCAGUGAAACUGUGAAAACCGAGUUUGAGAAAUACUGUUCAGCUAAAGGAGCCUUGUCCUGCAGAACUCAACAGUUUGGAGUGGAUUCGUAUUUAGCAAGGAUGGAAGAUUACCUACUUGUUACUAACAGAAGGUGGCAUCCAGUCAUUAGCAGGCAGUACCACCAGGGAGAGCCCUCGGACAGUUGGAAAAAAGGAAAAUGAUGCUCUGAGAACAUAAAUUUUCUAGUGUUCAAAAACCAAAAAUCAGAAAGUGAAUUCAGAUGUCUCUGGCUUCCUAGGCGUCCUUAUUCAGUGAUCAGAAUGAUAGGUGGCCACUGGCGAGACCUGACCAGAUCACUUCUACAAAAGGGAGAAGAGUGCAAUGCAAGGCUGAUCCAGAGGCUGCUGGAAGGAAGCAGACAAGAUAGUGCUUGGACCGGAUCUCAGGUAUGGGACUGAGCAGAAGUGGGUUUUGAUUCUGGAGGUAUUUUCACUCUCAGGCUGACAGGGUGCUCUGAAUUUUAAUGUGAGGUGUGAAAGAAAUGGAGGAAUCAGAAUUGAAUCAUGAACUCGAGGAAGCUGGUAAGGACCAAAAAAAUCUGGAAGGAAUUCAAGUUAGAUAAACUUGUAUUUCACAGCAAAAUAUCACUGAGGUCAAAUUUUUCAAAGAGAAUGUGUCGAACAGUUUUAAGGCAGUAGAAUGUUUUUAAACAGUGGCUGGGCAGAACUUGAUGUGGAAAGAGGAUAAAUGUUUCCUCACUCUUUUUGGAAUUAUCUCAAGCUCCUCACCUGUGGAGGAGCCUGAGGACAUUGAUGGGUCCCCUGCUGAGACCACGGAAUUGCUUCCCACACAAUUCCAGAUUCAACAGAUCCAAUGUGUCUGAUCCUUCAACAGUUCCUGUUAUGUAUGACUGUAUAGGAAUCAUGUAAGUCUACUCGCUUCAUUGACAUAGACUAAACUCCAUCCUUGGACUGCUGCCCCAAAGCAGAAAAUGGAAAUUAUUGUUAUGACUUUGAUAUAGAUCCCCUGUGGGAAAUUGCUUAAGGUGUGUAAGGCGAUGCAGAUGUUUGAGCAAAGAUACGCACAAAAUAUUGAAAGCAGUUGGUAGUUUUUGUCAAACAUGUGAAUAAGAUUUAACAGUAGCAGAGUUGAUAGUUCUGUGUGAAGUAUUUAGUAUGAAUUCAUGCUUCGGCUGUGUUCUGAGAGUGCUAGCUUCCCACAUUGGCCUUGUGUGUCUAUAGAUGUUAUGUGUGAAUAUUAUCAGGAAUUUGACUCUAAUAUGUUUCUCAUGGGACUAUGUCACCCUCCAUCCAUCAUGCGAAGCUGUGUUAAAGGAACACUGCAGAAAUGGUCAAAAGAAAAAGCAAGGUUUUUCUCUUAAGGAGCCAUGGAAAGUUGUAUUAUUUAGCUUAUAUGAUACAAUUUUAUUUUCUUGGAGGCAGGAAGAACAGGCAGGUAAGAAUGUGGUACAUUUCAAUUAAAAUUUCAUGUGAAGAAAUCAAUAACUUUCACAUGAUGAAAUAUAGUUUCUGUACUAAUUUUCAGACAUGAAACUCUUCAGUUAUGGACUUCAGAAUCAAAGUUACAGUAAUACUUUUAGAGUUGUACGUUUUAACAGGUUGAAUGUGACUAUAGGUGUAACCUCUUUCUGAAGUAUUAUAAAUGGUAAGGAAGCAAUAAAAUUGUACUAUAACAGCAUAAAACCAUAUAAUCUGGAAUACUGAGGUUAGGAUUCAUUAACAGGCCUAAGUGGUCAAGAAGUUUUUAAGAGGCAGAAACACUUAAAGAUACAAAUCAUUCAUGAUGACAUAGUUAUGCUUUAUGGCUUGAUAUUCUUCAUCAGAAAUAAACUGUAAAUUAAUUCAUCAUUAGUCUAGGUAAUCAAUUUUUCAGCUUUUGGUAAUUCUAAGGGGUUCUUGUACACUUUUUGUUCUGCAGUGCAGCUGUAAGUGCCUGUGUGUAGAUGGAUUUCAAAAUUUGGUUGUUUGUGCGUGUUUAAAAUUUAAACACAUUUUAUUAGCUGUAAAUAAUGCUCAACCAUCACCACUUAGAAGACUGUCUUCCUCAGCAUUUUUAGUUCACUUUUAGAAUCUCUUUUUCACUUUUAAAAAAUCAUCUAUUUCUUUUUGUUUAUUUCCUUCAAUAAAUUCCAUACUCAACAAUGCAUCUUUCUUCUUCAUGUCUACUCUUUAACAUAACCACUGAGAACAUUUGGUGUAAUGAUUACACUUUUAAAUUCUGGAGUGUGUGAUUUUUUUACAUAACAAUCUUUGUAUCUUCAGUUUUGCUAUUCAUUCUUCAAUUUUUAACAUGUUAAAUAUAAUGAUUCUAAAAUUUCAGAUUUUUUUAGGUCUGGCAUAGCAUUUCUACUCUGACUUUUCCAUAAUUUUUAGAAUGUGUAUGUGAGGCUGAGAUAAUUUGAGUGCUUCUAAAUUUCUGCGGUGUAAAUACCACACGUGGAUUUAUUUGUCUUUAUUGGGGUUCUAACAUUUAAUUUGCUUUGGUUUUGUUUCUUUUUCUCAUCAGUGUUUUAGUUGUUAUGCUUUUUAUGCCUGUGUCUACGAAUAGCUCAAAUUUGACCUGUUAAAUAGUGAUAGGUGAUCUACACCAGACUUCAGUAAGUAGCAGGAUUAUAGUAGUAUGUGGAGUCAGAACUUUAAACUCCUAUUUCAUGAACAGGAAAUUACUUUGUCUGAUUAACCUUACUAGGGAAACUCAACAGAAUUUCCCUGCCACAGACAGUCCUGAGGCAUCAGCUUCGGUAUGAAAGAAACUUAAAUUUCUGCACAUUAUGUAUGUGUCAGAUUCACUAAUCCUGUUAUUCAACUUCAGCAACCUUUCAAAUUUAUCUUAAAGAGUUACUUUUCAUUUCUCAUAUUUGAGAAUCUAUCAUUCUGGCCUUUGACUUAAUUAUGUAUUGUAUAUUAUUGAAGACUAUACAGAACACAAAAAUUUCUAUACAGUCUUCAAUAUGAGCAUGAAUGAAAUACACAUACAUAUACAAAUACAUAUACAUAUAUUAUUGGUAAUAAAAUAGAAAAGAAAUUAUUAGGUGGUUUGAGAAUAAAGAGAAGAGACAUUGACUCUGAUUAUGUUAAUAUUUUUUGUAAAUGUUAUAACAAGUGUGAACAACUGAAAUUGGAAACAUGAGAAAUUUAGAUUGGGAGGAAUAUAAUUUUCAUUUGUAUAUACGAUAUUGAUUGGGAUGCACUUGGGAUAAGGAGACAUAAGGAGACAAAUUUACAUGUGCUCUAAUUCUCAAGAAGAGAGUUUAACUGGAUACUGUUUUUACAAGUGGAAAUAACUUGUACUUCUUUUUCUUUUUUGCAGCUAAACAAGUGAAUAGGCUAAAUGACCUAUAAUUUGUACUUACCUAUCUCUGUACAAAAGUAUACAUUUAAUAUAUAUAAUUAGAGCAAAUAUUUCAUCAUGUUUAACUUUCUGAGUCUAAAUUAGCAGGCUCAUAAUUAACACAUAAAUUCAUAGGAUUCAAAAGAAUGGAAAGAAUGAAUUCAAAAGAAUGAAGAAAUUGGAGAACUCAUACUAGUAGAUAAAUUAAAAUUCAUAUAAAAGAUUCAGACAGACAAUGUUGUCACAAGGAUCGAGCAAUCAAGAAUGAGAUUUGGACAUAUAUUCAGAUUUUUAUUUGUAAUGGCUGUGAACUGGUGUAGACUGGAAAGCAUGAAGUUUUCUGUAAUGGUGCUGGAUCAAUUGAAUAUCCUCAUGGAAAAAGGAAAAUAGGACUAUUUCAUACCUUUCAGAGAAAAUCAAUUCCAGAUGCAUUUUACAUUAACUGUGAGAUGUAAAAUAACACCAGUUUCACAAGUGCAUUAAAGAAUAUCUUCAUAACUUUGGAAUACCAGGAUUUCUUAAUCAGCAUUCAAAAUAUACAAGUCAGACACAUAUGUAUGUGUUCCAAUACCUCAGGAUAAACAUACUCAUUGUGCAUCAUGAUCCUAAUACAAGUUAAAAAUAUGUAUUAAUUAUAACAAGAACACUUGAACAACUGGAAGAUGUUAAAAUUAAAAUCCUCCUCUCCAAAAAACUGUCAUAGAGGAAUUAACAGAGAGUCAAGAUUUAGAAGGUAUUUUCAAAACAUCUACUUGAAAAAAAUUGGCAUGAGGAAAGUGUAAGUCCUUAAUAGAAACUUUAAGGAAGUAGAAAAGCCAUUUUUUUGUAAUGGGCAGAGGCUUAGAUGCUCAAGUUAUUAAAAGGAAUGUCAGACCUGCUGGGCAAAACGUGCUUCCUUCCCUUAGCUAUCAGAAAACUAAAAAUUAAAACCAAGAUGCCAGGCCACGACUUACCCACCAGAAAGUGUAACACAAACUGUAUAAAACCGGACAGAUAAUUCUUUUCAGUGGAAGAUCUGAGCAGUACAACCUUUUUUUUGGUCUGUUGUUUUCCUGAAAUUCACUUGUGGCUUUGCUUAAACUACUUCCUUGUGUAAAUUCAGGACACUGCUCCUCCAAGCUUCUCGUGGCUCUUGAUUACCAGCAAGAGACUUGGAAUACAGAGACCGGAAACAAAUCAUGGCUCCUCCUGCUGGGGUUCAUCUUCACAUGACCAGUGAUACUCAUCAUUAAUAUUUUCCACUCUAAAUUUUCUCCUCAUUCCCCUGGAACUACAGCUUCAGGUAUCACCAGCGAUUUAUCUGUUAGUGUGAUCUCCAAGGGCCCUGGAGGGUCACACCCCGCAUCCCCUGAUAAGAUUGUGGGGGGCAGUCACCUACUGCUUGUGAGAUGCCAAGUGGGAAAAUUGCUUUGGAAGGCAGCGUGGCGACUACGUGAAAAUCUAAACAUAUCCUUAUCGUGGGUUCCAGUGAUUAUGCCCCUUACUAUUCAGCCAAGUAAAUUGAAAAUUUCUGUCUACACAAGAACUUCCACAUCAAUGUUUAUAGCAAACUUAUCCAUUAUUUCCAAAAUGCAGAGGCAACUGAGAUGUCCUUUGGCAUAUAAAUGGAUAAAUACGUACAUAAUAGUACAUGCAGACAAUGGAACACUAUUCAAAGCUACCAAGAAACAAGCCAUCAAGACAUGAAAAGACAUGGAGGAAAUUUAUCUGAAUAUUACUUAAUCCAAGGAGCUAGUCUGAAUAUGCUAUGGACCAUGUGAUUCCAAGCCUAUGACUUUUGCCAAAGACAAGCUAUGGAUUCAGUGAAAAGAACAGUAGUAGUUGAUUGCCAGGUACAUUUGUCAGCUUUCUAGUUGUUGGAACAUAAUAUUUGAGAAGCAUAAAUUAAAGCAUAAAUCCAUCUCAGUUUCCGGGGACUCAAUCCAUGUUUAGUGGGCUCCAAGGCAUAAACUUCAUGGCCAAAGGACUUGGUGGAGCCAAGGUUCUCAUUCAGGUGGCAAGCAACAGAGGAGGAGCAGAGAAAGCGACAGGGAGCCCAAGACCACACCUUCAUGAGGCACACAGACAUACCCAGAAGUGUGCUUCACAAAACGCUUUGGUGGCUCUGAAACCGAUGGGGCUGAAACAAUUGAAUUUAACCACCACACCAAUGAUUAGAAGGAAGAGAUGAAAACACAGAGCAGAGAGGGAUUUUUAAGGUAAUGGAAGUGUUCUGUAUGAUACUAUGGAUGGUGGGUAUAUUUUGUAUUUUUCUAAAACCAUAAACUAUAUCACCCAAAGAAUGAACCCUAAUGUAAGUUACAGAUUUUGAAUGAGAAUGAUGUGUUGACAUAGGUUCAUAAACUGUGACCCUCUCGAAGUUGGGGGUAUUAUGAGGUCAAGGUUAGGCAGGCAAGCGGGGCAGGAAGCUAUGGGAACUCUCUAUACCUUCCUUCCAGUUUUGCUGUGAACCUAAAACUGUAUUUAAUGAACACAGUUCUUUGAAACUGAUGAUCUAGCUAAAAUGCUUAGAUCUGGAAGCUAUCCCCCAGCAUAACCCUAGUAGUAAACAAAUCCUUUUGCGAGGGGAGCUGUGAAUUGCUUUGAAUCAAUGACACUUUUUUCAUAGAGUGGGGAGCACUGAAAAUUUCAAUACAAUUCCAUGUGAAUAACCUCAGCCAAAUAUUGAGUAAAAGAAGUCUCUUAUCCACCAACCUAAAACGAGACAGUAAACUACAUGACUCUAAAUAUUUCCAAGUGUAUGCUUUUCAAAAACUGGCAAAAUCAGUAGACAAUGUAAAUCAAAGUAGUGUUUAUCCUCAAGUGAUAAAAUCUUAUGAUUUAUGUUAGAACAUCAUUUAGUGUUGCUAAUGUUCUAUUGAGUUUAUACAGCUGGAUUCCCUUAACAAUCUCUACAUUUUUCUCAGCAUAUAUAACCAUAAUAAUUAAAAGAAAUAUUUGAAGAAAGCAUUAAAUUAUGACUGUUAAAUGUAUGUUAAAAUAGGAUAAUAAUUGUCACUUAGUUUACAUGAAAGGCAUAUAAAAUGGACUUUAUUGAGUAUCACUUAAAUUUAAAUUUCACAAUGAGAAUCAUAACUUUUAAGUUUCAGUCAUAAAUUACAAAGACUAUGAAAAUGGUUUCUAUAAAUGGAAAUUUAUUUCUAUCUUAAGUAAGAAUUUAGUGGUAGGAAGUUCAUGAGCACACAAUAUUAUGUUCUACACUAUAGAUAGAUCGAUAGAUAGAUAGAUAGAUAGAUAGAUAGAUAGAGAUAUGGAUAGGAAGAUGUGUGUGUGUGUGUGUGUGUGUGUGUGUGUGUGUGUGUGUGUGUUUGCUUCGUAUUUGAACAACUGUAAGCAGCUGGCACUUUUACAUCUUCACUAAAAUCCUCUGGGAUGCAGUUUAUUACGGGAAAUUAGUUUCCAUUCCUAGGACAUGGAUCUUUUUUUCUUGCUGCCUGUAAAUAGCUAACACUAUAGUAACCAAGCCCUGCUUUAGGCAGCCGGAGGAAACAGUGGAGAUGAAAAGACACAAAACAAACGUUAUUUAAAGAAAGGUCAAUGAAAGGGUCACAAGGCUAUAUGCAUUCAGGUCAUUGGCCUGUUGGGAGGCCAAUGAUUAGUUGGAACAAAGAAUUUUGGAAAAUGAAGGAUUUUGGAAAAGAGUUCGUUUGUGUGGCUCCCUCCCCACCAAACAGCAGAGUCCAUUUGCUCUGGAAAGAGAGAGCAGCUAUUAGAUUCAGCUAUGGCUACAGCACAGCAGAAAUUGCAACAAUUUUCACGCAUCAAAUUUCAAAAUAGCGAUAGCGAACUUUAACAUAUGAGAGUUGUCAUAAGAAACUUCAGAGAAGGGUUAGUGUGAGUUACUAUUACCACACUCAGGGAAAAGAUAAUUGUGGUAAGUGAGGUAAGACAACAUGCAACUCAGACCAAGAAGGUGUCAUUAAUGGGUUGUUGCUAAUUUUCCUAAAAAUAUUCUGUCAGAAGCUGAUUGCAAACACUUUUGAGGAGUGCCCAAGUUUUGGGAGAACACAAAAUAACGGGGGUGGGGAGAAGGUAGGUAUUUUCACAGAUGCUACAUUGUAGUGUUUAAAUCACACUGGGUGGUAGCCAAGAAAGAGUAUUUCCUUUAUAAGUUGUUCAAGUGAAAAAGUCAUGUUUCCUGAAAAUUGCUCCUGAUAUACCUCAUCCUUGGUAGCAUGAAAAGCAAACAAUAUUUUCAAUUUCUCAGACAACAGAAAUCGUAUAUUGUGAUUUUUAAAAAUCCUUAAAAAAACAGCAGAGAAUACUAUUUGAAUGUAAUUCCUAGUAAGGACAACAGUUGCAAAGUCUUGAUUUUAAUCGCAUCCUUAUAUGCAAACCAUUUGAAAACAUUAAAAGCUAAAUAAAUGCCUUUGCAAAGGAAAACGUUGCUCAACUGAUUACAUUAAAGGAUAUUUCUAUUGGGUUUGGAAAAGUCGGAGUCCACGAACCAUUAAAAAUGUCUGCUCACACUCCUAAGUAUGUCAGCACAGCCCAGCUAAUGAAAGCAAUCGAAGAUUUUCCAGUUGUCAGAAUUUAUAGAUAGCUGAUUGAAAUGAUUCAAGAAUCAGCAAUAUAAGUAUAUUCUCCAGGUAAGGAUGCAAAAGUCUGAGGUUAAUGUGAAAUUGCUACUUAGAGGAUAGUGAAUUAUUGCUCGUGGGUGAGGAGAAAUGGCCAGAACAGUAGGAAUGACACUAGUAGACAAUCACAGUCCACUGUAGGCUGCAAGAAGGCUGAGCAGUAUUAUGGACCCAGUUGGAUAAACUCUGAAAACUACUUUUUGAGGUAAGUUUAGUGUGCCUAACUAACCUUUAGGCAAAACCAUUUUAGGUGUAGAAAAUUGAACCCUCAAUAGACUGAGAAGUGAAAUAAGAAAAAAUGGGAAAUAUUUUGAAAUUUUAUCCUUAACUGAUACGGAAUCAGGAAAGAUUUCUGAGAACUUGGGAAAACGUGAUCACAUUUAUAUAUUUGUGAAAGGAUUCAAUUUAUAGCACUUUGAUAUUUGAUAGUGAAAAUUUCACCAGUAAUCUAGUGGGUAGAAACCUAAAGUACUGUAAAGAAAUUAUCGCUAGCAGAAGACAGGAAACAAUACGGAUAUCCAAGUGAAGACUUCAUAGCAGGUGCAGUUUUGGUAGUUUCAUAUUUUGGAGUAUUAAGUAGAGAAUGAUAGCUAUGAUUUUCCCUAUAAAUGUGGAAAGCAAUCAUUUGUUGGAUAUUAAAAGAGGUGAAGAAUGAGAAGGAAAGACUCCGGGCUAUUUCCCACUCUCUGGGAAGUCUCUGGAAGCUCAGAACAAAUUUGAGCCCACCAAAUCUGACACAAUAUCUGAUGAGGAUUUUCCUAAUUAAAAAAUACUUUUAAAGAUGAGAUAAAUUAUUCCAACCACUUUGUUCAUUGACAGUUUUCCUUCUGGCAUGUUUCUCCAUGUCUACAAUCCUUACAUGAAUUCUCAUUUUUAUGGCUAGCAUAUUUCCAAAAUAUUGAGAGAAUUAAAAGUCAGCAUUGUCCUUAGAAGGUCUUCCCUCUGGUCCUGUUGGGAAUGUUUUCCCCCAGCUUCUCUGUCUUUGCCCCAGCAUUUCUGGAAAGAGCUGGCCCUUCAGUAAUCUGUGAUUAAGAGAGAAGGGAACUUUUUGGUUUUCUUUGUAUGUUUAAGUAACCAAGAAUACUCUGCGGUAUACCGUGCAUUGCUUUCAAGUUUUUCGUGCAUAUGUGAGUGUAUAUGUGUGUGCAUACAUGUGUAUUUCAGAAACAGAAACUGAUGUUUAUACUUCCAACUUUGUAGAGACAUCAGAUAAAUGAGAAAUUGGUCUAAUAGCUCAGAUGAAUUCUCUUCCAAAGGAAAUUUAGCAGUCUUAAAAUAAAAUCCACCUCUUCUUUUUUCUAUCCUCAAAUGUAUAGCUUCAUUUUUUCAUACUGGAAUUGGUAGUUGCAAUAAAUUAUGCUUAUUUUAGCAUACAUAUAUGUAUAUGUAUGCAUAAACAUCAUUUUUAGAAGCAAACCAAUAUUAUCUUUAUAGUGUAUUAUUCUUAAAAUUCAGACAGAGGGAAUGUAAACAUUUUUAAAACAACUAACCUUAUCUUAUAUUGAAAUCCCAAAUGUAAAAACAAAGACAUAUUCAAUUCUUAUAAAUUUAAAAACAAUUUAAAUGGCUUUUUGUUUAGGAAACAAAUGUCUGUGUUACUUAUAUGCCAAUAAUAUUUUGCUAACAUAUCAAACAUUUCUGAAGCUCGUAAUAUAAACAUUAUCUGUCUAAAUUUUCAAUAAGUGUAUAAAGAAGUCAUACCAAUAGAAACACAUUUCAUUGGUUACUGAUUGUCAUGUUACCUUCUCAAAAUACAUUUUGAUAUGCUAACUCAGUAACUUUUUCAAAGUUCACUUUAAUUAAUUCACAGUUUAAAAUGUGCUAGGGAGGGAAAACAGUAGAAUCAGUUUCACAAGUGUGUGAGGUAUUAUAAGCAGCUAUGAAACAUUGUAGCGUUUAAAAGAUAUUUUGGAUGUUUCUACAUUGUCUGUGGCAGAACGUCAUUAAUACUAUAGCAUGGAUUAUAUAAAUACUAUUUGAUGAUGAAGUUUUCAUUCCUGAAUUUAUUUAAAAAUGACAUACUGAUUUCUACUCUAGAAGGAAAAGAAAAUGUUUCAUUCACUUGUCAAAAUCUUCAGCCAGUAAGAAAACAUUUUAUGCCAGUGAUGAGAAGAUAAUUCUGGCACUCCGUUCCUAGUCUGAGGCACUUCCUUACACUGCGGGUACCAAGGUGUAACAGUGUUCCGUUAGUUGUCCUUUCUGCUCCCCAAAUUCUUUGACUCCAUCAUCAAUCAAUGAACUCAACACAUAACUCUUUACUGUAUGUUACACACUACAUGGCAUUUUGUUGUGCAAAGUAAAUUCAGGCAUUGUCCAGGUCAUCAAACCUCCCAAUCUAAGUUACAUUCAUGUCUGUAGAUCCAGUGUACCCUUUGUUAUACCUUAAAACUCAGCAUGAAUGUUUUUUUGCAAACUACUUGGUUGUCCUAAAGGUAUUUUGGACUUACGUUCUUCAUUAAAAUAUUCCCAGUAUUUACCAUUUUUCAGUCUAAAUAAGAAAAGAGAUUAAAAAAAUUACCGAGGAUCAAAAUACCAGAAGGAAACGAUCCAGGAAUAGAAAUAUGUUCUUUGUGAGAGAAUAAUCUCACUAAAUGCCACUGACUACUGGCUGCUAUUACACAUCAGAUACAUAUGUUACAAAUCUUCUGCCACUCUCCUCUCCAUGCCUCUUUAAAAUACUCCUUUUCGGGGCUUCUAGCCUAAAACUACAGCUAAUUCUGAAUCCUAUUCAAUGCUCCUGCUAUCACACACAUUUUGACUCAGGCAAGACAGUGUCAGAUGCUCAUAAUUAUUCAUAAAGCAAAUUUAGUUGAGAAAUGCCUUUUAGAAACCUAAAUCUUGAGGACCAACUUUGGUAUAAAGCCUGUUCUCAUUACCAUCAUAGAGUAUCUGUGACCACAAGAGACCAGCAAAUAUUGUAAACAUUUAUGGAAGUCAGUAGACUGUCCCCCAAAAUACAUACAGCCCUAAAAUAUCCUAUGUACUUGUAGCCAAAUCACAAGGAAGGUAGUGAAUUUGUCUUACACAGUAUGUUUACAUGGGAAAAAUUUGUUCAAGACCUGGAACUUCUUUUAGCAAGUUGUUGAAUUCAGAAAUGCUCCCCUGAUUCCCUGAUUGUUUAUGACAUUUCGCGUGUACAUACUCAUCCAAACACACAGUGUGCCAUAUUGCUCAGCAUCCCCUGGAAUUCCGGAAACCCUGUGUGUGCACAUGAUAAGUCUAGAGAACUGGAGUAAAGAAGGUCUUCUAAUGCAGAGUAGUAAAUCUACCUGAGGCUGAGCACAAUGUUUUAUCAGCCGGGAUUUCCCCAUGUAAUCUUUCUCACCUUUUAUAUGGCAACACAGCCUCAGAGAACUGGGGGAUAUUAAUAUCCAGGCAAAAUAUCUCCAGUGUGAGUGUGAUAUUAAUACUGAAUAUGAUAAAAGGGAAAUAGAAACUGGGAACAUAUGCUAACCUUAGGCAUCAUUUGCUUUCCAAAGCUCUGUUUUCAAUAUGAUGAUUACUUGUGCAGUAGGAAAAAUGAUUCUGUAAGCUUUUGGAGAUCCGUAAUACAAAGGCUCUAAUCAAGAUAAAAUAUGAUAAUAUCUAGUAAAUACAUUAUGGUAUUGUUUUGACAGCACAUUUGCAUUCUUUGCCACUGUCCAAACAUUUAGUCAUAAAGUGUUCUUCCAAGGUUUCUGGGCACUAGACUUAAAAAAAGCACAUAUUAAUUCAAACCAUACAGCACAUAAAAUGUACUAAAUAUGUAUGGCUAUCACUCAAAAGGAGCACAAUAAAUUUAAAUUCUGUCUGCAUCUGUGAGUGUGCUACUCUGCAGUUAUUUUGUAAAUCUGACACAUAGUUUGCAGCUCUUCUGGAUUAGUGAAUAUCUCUCAUUCAUAAAUUUUGCAUUAUUCAUAGUUUGUCCCCGGAAGACUUUUCACACAAACAGAAACCAUGUCCCAUGAAAAUAUUUUUUUUCUUUAAUGUAUAACAUCCCAUAAUAAUAAUGGACAUUUUAUCAAAAUGAGCUGUAAAAAUCUUCACGAACUGCCAGUGGUUACACCUUUACUGAUGUACUCAUUUGCCCUGUUUCUAGGGUCGCCAGGAUUCAAAGGACCACCUAGAUCAAAGCCCUGUUCAAGCUGACGGAUGGCAUUUUCCACCAAAGUCACUACAGGAAAUAAUUAGGUGCUGCCCUCUUUACCAUAGCAGCAGGUAUGAAACAGUAGACGCUGUUUCAUUUCAUUUCCGGGAACUCAUACAAUUAAAUAGAUAUAUUCCUUUGGAUCAUAAAAGUUUCUUCCUUAAAAGUAUGGCCGUGCUUCACAAUAGCAAAGAAGGUCAAAAUUGAUGAAAUAUGAAUGAACUUAUGAAAGCAAAUUCACUGUAGUGAUUGAGAUUAGAGUGCGUGUAUAUUCCUGGAUACUAAGCACAUAAUUGUAAUGGUAGAUUUAUGCUUUUGUGGCAAAGCGCAAUACAUUAAAAUUUAGCCUUCUCUUGAAUUUUAAAUGUGGAUAUUGUGAUGCAGGACACUGACACUUACUCUUGGUAUUAUAUGCAUCCUGAUACGAAUUCUGAUCCUGCAGUUUUGCUCAGGAUUCUAGAAAGUUGAUCAGAAUUACCUUCAUUGACUAAUUUUCAUCUUGCUUGCCAUUUGAGGGUUUAAUAUGGAGAAUGAUCCAGUUUGAGUUCUCCAGAUUCGACUCAAGCUGUCUUCUUCAUUGUAGCUGGUUUAUCUGUGUCAAUUUUCCCCAGCAAUGUCCAUUUUCCUCUGAUGAGGACAUGGAUAUAUGGCUGGUUAUAUUCUCCCUUGAUAAAAUUAGAAGGCUGUUCCUGGCAUCUAAAGAACGGAGUCACAGAUGCUUUUAAGUAUCUCCUAAAACUAAGACAGCCCCACACAAGGAGUUACCUAGAAAAAUAAGGUCAGUAAUAUUAAAUUUGAGAAACCUCAAUCUAAUUUACAUUUCUUCUUUUCUUUCCCCAAAUGGUUUAUAAUUAGUAAUAAAUUUAUAAUAAUAAGAAUAACAACAAUAAUAUAAAGCAAAAGAGAGAUAAAUCACAUUUUAAUCAGAUAUUUAAUACCCACCAUACUGUACAGGACUAUUAUAAAAGAGAGCAAAUAUAUUAUUAAUUCGAAUUUUAUUUGUAUGGAGUAAUAUUCAUGUUCGUAUAGAUAAAAGUAUAAAAACCGUAAAUAUCCAGUUCAAAAUAGUGAUAAUUAGCACCCAAGUCAAGAAACAAAAUGUUACCAGUACUGGAACAGUAACAUUCAAUAUUCAAUCUUAGAUUCCUGCAUUCUAGGUUCAUAUAUAUAAAUGCCUCUUGACAUAGCACCCAUCAAUUAUAAUGGAAUAUUGGGAAGAAAAGAUGAGAUUUACCAACAUCAUAAUUCAGAAAGUUUUAUUUCUUAAAGUAAUGUUAAAAACUAGUUAUUAAGUAAAAACAGUGACGACAAUAAAACAUCAGGUUACAAUCUGUUUUAUCAUCAUUUUAAACAUUACAACAGUGAUAUAUAUUUUAUUUACUUACAGUUUCUGUGUAAUGGCAAAUUAUACAAUAAUAUAUAGGCAGGACUACAAGUGAUUUAUUUUAUACUUACAGGUCAAAGAAUUUUAUGUUUAUCAUCUUAAGAGAUACUGAUGUAAUUUCUUCCAAUUAAAGCAUACUGAUCCUCAUUUUCCUGUGAUAUUAUACAGGUAUGUUUUCUUCCUCCAGUUCUAAGUGUUUCAAUUGCAUGUAACAUCUAUGCAAUUCUACACACUGAAUUUAAGUGAUAUGUGGUUAAACAAAAAUAUUCAUACCACAUAGUGAAUAAUGUAGUUUUAAAUACAUUUGAAGGACAUAGAACUGCAGCUAAUAUAUGGCUGUUUACGUGGAAGAAAAUAGGGGAAGAAUGUCUUUAACUUAUUGGAACCCAAUAAGGACAUAUUGAGCAAAGAAAGGUGUGUGAGGUGGGAACACGAGGGCUCAGUGUUUUCAGACAAAUGUGAAACUCUGCCAAAAACUCAUCUAUCGCUAGAGAAAAAAAAUCUCAACACUAACCUAGUGAAUCAGAAAGAGGAAAAUCUAGAAUUGUUUCAUAACUUUCCUUAAACCCACUGUUAAAGUUUCUGAAAUCUUUAGGGAAGAAGAAUAGGAAACAGAUACCAGAAGCCGUACUCUGCCCUAUAUAUUUGGGUUCCGUUCUUGUGUACCUUUUGUUUCAGAGCAUCCUCAUUAAAAAUAUGCUAAAAUAAAAACAAAAACAAAAAAUACCAGCUCUAACUUUGUGCAUUUCUCUCUCCCAGAUCACAGAAAUGCUGUCUCAGUUUUUAAAUCCAUUAUUCUGAAUUCACGUAAGCACACAAAAACAGUAUAGGGAGAGAUCACUGUAGGUCAGUGUUCCUACAGGGAGAGUUUCUGUUCAAAGUUUUAGCUGAAAAGUGGAAAACAGGUUUCUCUGACCGGGUCUUUUUCAGCAAUUUUGAAUUAAACAAAAUGAAACAGAUUUCUGCAAGGUAGGGCUCUUGUAAGGAAUAUGCAAUUAAAAAGUCCCCAAAGGAAACACAAAGUAGACCAUGACUGUGUUGUGGUUUAUAUCUCAGUAUCUUCCUAGAGACUUGUGUAUGUGAGGCCUUCAGAAGGUCAUUGGAUCAUCGGUCCAUUGUAGCUGACUUGCUGUUAGGACGCAGGACCAACCAGAAGAGGCGGUUACUGUGUACACAACAUAGAAGGUUGUGUCUCCCUUCCUGGUUCCUCCUUUUGCUUUCUGUCUACCAUGCUGUGGGCACUUUCCAAGCUGUGUUUCUCUUCCCUGCUUUUAUACCUUGGAGCCAGCUGAUAAUAGACUGAAACUUUUUACAAAAACGUGAGCCAAAAUAAAAAUCUCCUCCUUGAAACUCUUGGUGUCAGGUAUUGUGUUUGGCAAUGAAGAAAAAAAAUGACUAAGAUAGAAUGGAUACCUUCUCAUCCAAUUUUGAAAGAAUAGAUAGGAGAUAUUCCUUGUCCUGGCACAGCAAGAGCUUCAAAGUGUAGAACCAAACCAGAAGAGCCUGGGAAUGUGGCUUGCUGAGAAGCAAAAUUUUUGUUGCCUAUAAGGGUGACAUAAUUAUUUUUUAGACACUGAUAAAGUAAGGCAGUGGUAGGAAUGAGUUUGCCUUCUAUUUCCUUUGGUCUGGCAAAAACGAACCUACAUAAACUGCCAGGAGCUGCGUGGGUCAGCUAGAAAAAUGAAGGGAAUUAACGGCCACCUACUUCUCUGUCUCCAGCUUAGUGUUUGUUUGUGGAGUAAACUAAACCAAAACAGAAGAUUUAUGGACCUGCCUGGUUUGUGCUUACAAGUUUGUGAUUUCUGAAAUAUUGCUAAUCCAAAUUAAUAAUAAAGAGAAAUGCAUGCAAUGUUUUACAUAUUUUUAAACUGUUUAUUAUAGUUUGGAUGUUAAAUGUCCUCCAGUGUGACGAUACUGAUAGAAUCUCUACAAAGUGGGCACCUAUUCACCUAUUCAUUGCUAUGAAGCCAUUAGAAAAACCCUUUUAAAUGAAACUGAGGCACUCCAAUUAAUUCUUAUUUCAAUCUUUUGCCUCAUUUUUAUGGUGUGAGCAGAUUUCUCCCACCAUAUCUCCUACCAUGAAAUGAUUCCUUGCCACAGAUUCAGAAGCUGUGAACCCACUGGUCAUGGAAUUUCCAAAACUGUGAGCCUAAAUAUGCCUUUUCUCUUUAUAUGUUGGUUACCUUGGGUAAUUUGUCACAGAAAGCUGAGGGACACCAGUGAAUUAAUCAGCUGUAUAUUUCAAUGACAAGCUAUAAACAAGCAUGUACACAACACACGCACACAAACACAUGCACAAACCAACUGAAAAUCUAUCAGUAAUAGACAGAGAAAAAAGAACUGUCAUGCAGUUGUGAUUGCAGUUUUAGAAGAUAAGCACUUUUUAAAUUACCUAUAGCUUUAUUGUACAAACAGCAGCCAGGUAUCUACGUGGUUGGCCCAGAAAUUUUAAACUUUAUAAACAUAGAAACCUGUACAUAACAGUUUGUAAUAUAUUUAUUCAGAAUCGCUAUAAUUGGAAACUAUUGUGGCUUGUGCUUGGAUGCCAUAGGAGUUGUCUCAUGUGGUCAUAGGUGGGGCUUUUCAGAGCUGGCUGGGUCUAGGAUGUGUGAUGCUGGGAUUGAGAAUUCAUGAUUAUUGAUUCAGUCCCCUGGUUGUCUUGGUGUAGUCCUGGGUGUGAUAAGGGAGGGCCCUUUUUGGGUGUGUGUGCUACCCGAGGUGUGCAGCCUAGACAGAAUUUAAGGGCCAGAAACAGAGCUGCGGUCAUGGCCUGUUGCUUGCUCCCCUCUACUAUGACACUGCUUUGGUGCCUUGUGCCUUCCAUGAACAAUUUCUCCUCGGUGGUGUCCCUUUGCCAUGGCACCUGCUUGGAACUAUUCAGGUACGAACUAAAACCUCUAUAUAGUGCUAGGUUGAUAUUUCUAUUAUUCUUGCAUUAUACAGGAGCUGUUAACUUUUAAGGAGAUCCAGUAACCUGCCUGUGGUUGAACAGAUAAAAAGCAAUGAAACUGUGUUUCAAAAAUCAUCAUCUCUAGAACCAGAGGUUUGAAAUUCAACUCUGCUGCUUCUCAAUAAACUUGUUAAAUAAUGAAGACAUUAUCAUUUUUCAUUUAUGUUUAUAACAAUCUUUUAUUCAAAUUGUUUGAGAUUUUUCAACAAUAUCAAAUUUUAUCUUGAUUACCAUACAUUGUAUUCAUGACACGGAUAUCUGUUUGUCAUUUGACUAGAUUAAUUUGGACGUAAAGUUUAAAAAUUAUUUUAAUACUCUAAAACUUGAUUUUUUAAAAUCUCUGUUAUUUAUUUCACUAUAUCUUGUGAAGAAUAUGAAUUAAUUAUUAACAAUAAAUUAAAUUUUUUGUGUUUUACUAGAUAUUUAUCCCUUAUGGAUUAGUAAUGACCACAUUUAAUUUAUUAAAUUAUUUUAUGAAUAAGAAUAUUAUCUAAGAAAUUCCAAAUCACUGAUCAAAACAGUGAACGAUAUGCACUCCAGAGUCUAUGUAACAUUUCAGAGAUCAAAAACUGUUAUCUUUUUCUUUGUAAAACAUAAGGUUUACUGAUCUGGUUUGCUUUUCCAAGAUAGUAGUUAAAUCUUGUAAAACACUUUAACAGCACUGGUCUCUUAAGAUCUUCAUUAUAUUGUAAUUGCUGUAAGAACCACAGAGAUAUUGAUACAUUCUUGCAAAACACCUAAAUUUCUGAUACUAUGUGAGGUAUAUAGAAAAAUACAAAAAAUAUAUGUGAAGUUAAACGAAUUAUUGCAAAUCAAACAACCCUAUUGACCAGCAAGCUUUCUUAUAAAUCUGCCAAAUUACUACUCUAUCUUUUCUUAAAGGCAACCACUGCUUUGUUUUUUAAAUCUGUAAACUAAGUCUGUCUAAUUUCUGACAUGGUGUAUACAAUGUAAAAUUUAUAAUAGGACAAAUACAUAUAUAUAUAUAUAUAUAUAUAUAUAUAUAUAUACACAUACAUACAUACAAGAUGAUUCUUGAGCAUAUCAUACAAAAACUAAAAGGUGUUAAAGAACAAACGAAUAUAAACUAAGAAUAACAAGGAUGUAACUGACAAUGAUCAAGUGUAGAACAAUUGAUUAACAAUAAUGAUAAUAAAGUAGUAUAAAAUUAUCUCUCAAGGAAUAAAAUACAUAUUUAAGAGUUUUGACUAAUAUGAACAAAUGUGUAAAUAAAUUGUACAGAAGAGACAAAUCUUCCACUUUAAAAAGAAUCACAAAUUGCUGUAACUGCUUCUAACUGUAACUGCUGUAACUGCUGUAACUAACUUCUAACAAGGUAGAGCAGGAAAAAAAACCUUAAUGUUUUAAAAGUAGAUGAUGCAGAGUGAUUUUUCCCUCAAAUAUCAGAAUACAAGAAGGUGAGAAAAAAGAGCACCCUCAAGCAGAGAAACCUGACCAGUGUUAUUCAAAGGGGGAAUCAAAGCUUACGAAGAUAUCGACCUUGGCAUCAGGUGGUAGCGAUGAUUCACUGCUCCAAAUAUAUAAUCACAAGGAAAACACCUGGAGAGGCCAGGAGAGAGAGAGUCCACACACUCCUCGACACAAACCUCCAAACUGUCACGGUCACCCACAGUCAGGCAGUCAGAGUGCCUUCAAGACAAGCCAGGAGGGACAUGAAGACUAAAUAAUGCAUGACAACGUGACUAUGAGCCAGUAACACAAAGGGACAUUACAAAUAAACUGCAAAUAUCUGAAUGAACAAUGAAUUUUAGCUUAAAUUAUGUAUCGAAUUAAUUUAUUAGUUGUACCCAGGAUAACAUUGUAUCUAAGACAGUAAUAACAAGAAGUAAGUAUGGAGAUAUGGAAAUUCCAGUACUGCAUACAGAAUAAUUCUGUAAAUGUGAUUUUUUUUCUAAAAAUAAAGAGUUUAAACAUAAAUUGAUACAAAGACCCAGUGUGAAUAAAAGAAAUCUUUAGAGACAUUUUAUUUUGCCCUUCAACUUGAUUCUAGCUAAGUUCCACAAUAAUUAAACAAUAUCUGCUAAAAAAUUCAAGCUUACUUCACACUAUGUACAGUAAUUAUAUUUAUAGUUUAAAUCACCAAAAUUGUGUUGACAGCUUUCUGUGACCCAAUAUGUUUAAUUUUUAUAAACUACUACAUGUGAACUCAGAAACUGUAUUUGCAAUUAUUUAUUCAGUGGUGUGUUUUGUAUAUUUUUUUUAGAAAAAAAUGAAGAAUUGUCAUGCUUACAUUAUCUGUAGUUUUGCUGUUGGAUCUUUUAAACACUUCAUGAGUUAGGAAAAGAAAUAUGGUAAUAUCUCCUGAGUGAUAUAGAUGUUUCUACUUCUCUUUCCAAUUAUGUAAAAUGUAAUUUCUUGGCAAAUCUAUUCUUUACGUGUUAAGGAGUAAUUUAACGCCUCUCCCCUGCCUGAAUUUAUCCUAGCUGUGGAAGUGCUCUACGUUUAAUAUUUUCACGCACUGCCAUUAUCUUUUUUCUUAAAACCUUGACCCAUUUUUGAAAUGUUUCUAUUUGAGCUAUGACUAUUUAAAAUUGCACAAAUAAUUGUUUUCAACCUUCUUUGACAAUGCUUGCACUUAAGUAAUUAAGCUGUGCACACUCGUUAAUUCAGACAUGGUUGAGUUGAACUCACAUUUUGCCUCUGUCUUUUUUCUGUUCCAGUCUUCUUCUCUUGUUUUUUUUUUUUUCCUUUGAUUAGUUUGCAGUUGGCAUGCUAUGUAUAUAUUUUUGCUAUAGCUUUAUUACUCAUCUAAGAGAUCAUAAUAUUCAUUCUUGCUUUGGUAAAUUUAUUUUUAUUUAUUUUUUUCAUUCUUGCCUUAUUACAAAGUACAAGGGUUUGAGAAUACUUCACCUGCGUUUUUACACCUUUCUGGCUUGUAUGCAAGGGUUAAGGGGCUGGAGAUUUAGCUCAUUGGCACAAGCACCCACCUGGCAAGUGCAAGGUUGUGAGAUCGAUCCCCAGUAUGACUCCCCCAAAAGAAAAGAAAAUAAAAGGGAUGAUUGAAAUACAUGAUGAAUACUCACAUUUUAAAAAUUGAUUAUAGUAAAAGACACCUUUGCCUCAAAUACUCUCCUUUGCACUAAGAACGCUUAUUACCUCAUGCUUGAGACUUUUGCAAACAGUUUUAGAAAUCUUCUAUCAUGAGUGUCUUUAUGAGGUGUGACAAAAAAUACUGGGCAUGCUGCUGCCAAGUGUCAUCCAACAGAAAGGCAGGAUCAUAAAGAUGACUGCUGGGUAUGGCCUCACCUAGUUUAUUCACUUGAUCUGGCAACUUGCAACCUCUUGCUCUGUUCUCAAGUCAGAUGCCCAUGAAAGGUGCACACCUUGAGUCAACUUAGAAUACUGCGGCAGCCAAAAUGGCACAGCUAAAGACAAUCAAAAGAGAGGCCUUCCAGAACUGUUUCAGAAAUUGGCAACCAUGCUUGGGUUAGUGUGUUCUAGAGGAAGGAGGCUGAGUGAUGUGUCUUCUUACUGCAUUCAAUUAUUUUAAAAAAUUAAAUUCACUGAAUUUUGUAAAUAUAUAAUUUUAGCUGUGUGUCUGUGUUAAUAUCUAAUAUAUAAGGCUAACAUUGCAUUACUCAUCAAGGGUAAUUUAUAUUUACCCUUAUCUUUAAGUUUCUAGUGUCUUCAUUCUUUCUUUCUCCUCCAUCCUCCUCUGCAGGCACUUUUUGGAACUAACUCUAGAAGUUUGAUUUGAGCCCUCCAAUAGUAAGGCCUACCUGACGGUAAUAUGAAUAAAAGAAAGGCCUCGAUUCAAUUUUUUUUCUUUCUUGAAGUGGAUAUGACAACAUAUAUUAUGUAUCACAAAUCUCAACCUUCAAUAUGUACAGCCCUGUAUGAAUGGGUUCUCACGAACUGAGCUACCCAACCAAUAUAAAGAUCUAAGACACCCUGCCCUUAGCCCUUCUUCUGGGGGUGAUGUGUCAGUGAGAGUUCAUCACUGUAACAAACCACCUGGGCUUACUGGUGAAGAGAAAAGAUUCCUGAUGGUCAGUUUGAGGUUUCUAUGGCCAGGCACUAUGGCAAGGAGUGGGUACAUAACAGAUCAUUUUAAGGACAGAAAACAAAUAGAGAAAGGCCAAGGUUUCACUCUCUCCUUCAUGAGCACAAUCUCCGGGGACCUAGAGAUGCCCACUAAGGUCCACUUUUUAAGGAUUCUACCUCGUUCCCUAGAAACCAACCAUGCAGUCUGCAGGACUUGGAGGAUGUCAUGGUUUAUGUCUGUGUCCCCCAGACCUCAUGAGUUUGCAUUGUGCAUUUGUGAUUGGUUCAUUGUAUAGUGCGUGGUUGAUGGUGUCAGUGCUCCACCCACUUAGGGGUGGAGCCAGGAUGUGGUGUAAUGGCAGGAAGAAGGCGUGUCUUACUCUUUGCUGGUUCUUGCUUGCUGUUUGCAGCCACCAUGAACUGCGGCCCAGCAUGCCCGCCUGCCUUGGAGCCAACUAAGUGUGGACUGAAACCUGUAAAAACUGUAAGAAAUAAACCUUUCCUUUCCCAACUUGGGCUUCAGGUAUUUUGUCUCAGCAGCGAGUAAAAAGUAACUAAGACAGAGAAUAUUCAAGGCCCAACCCACAUCAAGUAUA